AAUGCACCUGUAAAAUUAGUAUCCCCUAGUAUUCUGCAGGAGCCAUAAAAUGUAAUGCUCUUUGUGUGCAGCAAUCUAAAGCUUGACAUGGGUAAUGUUACAUGGCAUUCACUUGCAGCCUCUGAUGGCUGCACCAAUUUCUGCUAGGAAAGGAAGAGGACUGAAGUCAUCUUGGAAGGCUUAUUCCAAAUUCAUCUCUACUUUGCUGUGAAAGGAAUAAACGGAGCAUAUGAUGCCUGGAUCCUAAUCUCAGAGCACUCUAUCUAACCAGUGAUGAAUCACAAAGCUGAAACAACAAUGAAUACGAGACAGACCGGCAAGAAUAAAACCAUCAUCUCAAUACUUAUGGGAAACAGAAGAACAUGGAGAUUUUGCAAUUUGAGCUGAGCCAGGCAGGAGCUCUUUGGCAGAAGAAGAGGCCUCCCGAGGGAUAAACACAAUCCAGAAGAUGACUGCAGAGGGAAAUGUGACCUGCAUGCACAGUCUCCACUAUGAAGCAAACUGUUGCUGGACACGUACGCCUCUUUAGUUCCCACGCCACACAACAACAGCACUGGGAUAGGAUGCUCCAUGGGAGACAGCAGCUUGUAAAAGCAGUCGGGGUCUACCAGAAAACACCACAAUAAACACCACAAAACACAAGAAGGAGCCCGCCAGCUGCAGAAAGCCAGCAACAGGAUCAAAAGAGAAAUGUCCCAGGUACAAACAAGUGUAGAGCCAGGAAGAAUGACAUGACUGCAGCCAGGAAAACCUAUAAUGUCUGCACGGGCUAAGAGCUGGACUUAGGAGUUUGGCAGCAGCCUCCCCAGGAAUGAGCUGAGGACAUCAAGCAACUCCCUGCUCCCAGCUGCUGGGUGCCACCAGAGCUAUUUCAGAUCUUCAGCAAGAAUCAUGGAGGAAUGGUGCAGGAAAAGCUAUCCUGAAGAUGUUACUUCCUAGGCAUACAAGAGAUGGGGCUAUUCACACCACAGCAAAUGGGAAGGGGAAGAAAACGUGGAGAGAUUUAGUCCAGUUCUGUUGGCAUCAAGUGGACAUGUUUAUUACAGCUGGCAGAGAGGUCCCAGCUUCAGACAGUUGUCUGCCAUCUGCUUUGGCCAGACACCAAGACGCUAGCAAUUGGCUGGCAUUGCUGCCAUGAGCAAAGACAGAGUUGACACCUUUCACCUCUGGAGAAGGUUGGAACAACAGGCAUCUAGCUGAAAUCCCAUGUCACCAACUAGAAGCAAAAUACACCUUUCAAUCAGCACAUGGUCAGUGUCAAUGGGACUCAGCAUCUGCUGGAGUGGAAGACUGUACCCCAGUGGAUGGUAACAAAUCUGAAAGCCCCUACACAGUGAUAUUUCAUCACACUGCCCAUCCAGAAUUUCUUACAGGGCAUCCAGUCCAUAGCCACUUCAUCAACUGAUUCAUAGAUACCAAAUGCUGACACAAUACCUUAAAGAGAAAUGUUGACUGUUUUCCACAGGCAGUUUCCUGCAGUCUCGGAGAAGCUCUACUCAACAUUUCUUUUGAGAUUCGAAGGAAUUUGAUGAACAUUUUGCUGUUGCCCAUUUCUGACUAUUCUGAUUUCAGCAGGGACUGGAGGAGCACUUGAUGAGUAUGGCUUUUUUGUUAUUUACAGCCUUGUCAAAACGAUGAAGUAGCAGGAAUCUCCUUGGAGAGCAAUGUAUCACAACAGUUUUCAAGACAGUUUCCAAAUCGAAGAUGACUUCCAAGGAACAGCAAGGAUGUAAUCUUGGAGCCAAUCAAACCAGUGGCAAAAAUCCCACUUUCUGCAUGAUCUUCUUAAUGCAGCCUCUGACAUUUUGGAGCUUCAUAUAUUAUGGUUAAAAGGUAGUGUCCAAAUUCAGCAUCUGUGAGCCUCACAGAGGCAAGAUCCUAAGAAGUAGUGAUGAAAAAUGUCUAUUUUAAAAACAAAUAUCUCUAUUUAUAAUGACACCAAAGGAAAAGUGGAGAAUUCAGUACUUAAUACUGACACCUGCCACUUGCAAAAUCUCUCCACUGCUUGAAACAAGUUUUGUGAGAGUUUGGAAAAUUUUGAUCACUCAUUUUUUCCUCCUUUGCUUCCAUUUUGCUCACUGGUAGGGCUGUCCAAUAACAGCACUGACGUUGCUGAAAUGUCAUGAUGAACUUUGCUCAUGCACUAGUUCCAGGUGAGAUGGGAGUAGUUAUAAUUCUUAACAAAACAAAACAAAAGAAGUAUUUGCCAAUGUUUUUGGAUAUAGUUGUUAUGUCCCAGGCACAGAGAUUAGUCAGAGCAUCCAUAAAUAUCACUGUCAUUGAAAUCUGAUAUCCAAACCCUUCACUCCAAAUGCCCACCGGCUGUGAAAACCCUGCUGAGCUUUGGCCACUGGGCUGUAAACUCCUUCUGGGUUUUUCUCCAUGCUGGCACAAAGACUGGGGGUCCCUGCCAGUGCAGUAGGGUGAGCAUUUCAGGAGGGGAAGCAAGAGGCACAUUCUACACAGUGGAUUGCCUGAUGAGAAAAAGCUCCCAUUGUGUAUCAUAUUGCACAGGCCAUCUCCCAGGCUUCAUUCCUGUUGUCAGCCUCUGGUCACUGCAGUAGAGGAGGGUCAGUGUAGAAGGUUACAGAGCAGCUGUGGAGGCUGGUGUGCCAGACAGUACAAGUAUCAUAAAUGGCCAGGUUAAAUUUUACUCUUUCUUGAGUAUCUCUGUUAGAAACUGAGCUAAACAGUGUCUCGGUCCCAACACAUACAGAAGUUUUGAUGCUAUCACAUAAAGAAAAUCCAGUUUCUUGGAGGAAACUUGAGACAAAAGAGGCAACCCAAGAUAUUUACCAAUUUACACUAAAUUAAUGCAAACAGAACCAGUGCUCUUUACAGUAAAUCUAUUGCUGCUGAGUUUUACUAGAAUUAACUGAUAUUCCUACUUGCCUAAUAUCUAGCUGGUAGGCUUGGUGAGGGUUUUUUCCAUUGAUGCCUUUUGGUGAAGGAGAAGGCGUUCUUCAAUGGAUUAAAGUAUUUUGCAUCCAGAAAUGUUUUGUUUCAUCGAAAGGUUUAGAGUUUUCAGUAGGAAAAAGCUAGGAAUUAUUUUGAGUCAUAAUUUUCUUCCGUAUUCCACUCACCUAUCACCUCACACUACUACAGAAGUAGCAUAUUAACUGAAGCAAGAGAAUCCAUCCAUUUCAUCAACAGCUUUCCUAGGGGAGAGAAGUAGACCCUAGUUACUUCCAUCAUUUACUACUUAUGCUUAAAGCUGGCUUUAAUCCAGCUCUGAAUUCCACAGGUGGCUGUUUUGCAGCAUCCCAGAACCACAUGGGUCUGGACUCUGAGUUGAAUUCAUACGUGGAGCAGACCGUGUCAACUCAACACUAUGCAUUAGUAAUAACAAUAUUUUUAUUACCUAUUGGAACCUAUAUAAACAUCAAAUUAGCUCAUUUGAGCUGGAAACACCACCAACAGUGAUUGUCUUAGAGAGUGUAGCAGAAAUGUUAAAUCAUGGCCUGAACCAGUGAUUGAGCACCUGGUAGGAAGGCAGGGCCAGCCCAGGGAAGCUCAGGUACAUGCAAUGUUCUUGAGUGACCAGAAGGGCUGGAGCCAGGAUCCACCCCUUCCCAGACCUCAUUUAAGGGUUGGCAGUGGAGGCAAGGGGAUCUUGCUGGAGAUCCCUGCCUACUGGAUGCCUUCCAAAGGCUUAGGGACAGCAGACCCAGUGCCCUGAAGGUACUACAGGCAACAUGGCUCUCAUCCAAAUUUUGGGCACCGAUAAUCAGCUCUUAUCCUAUCAGCUGAAGUGAAUCAAGGUGGGAGGAGGUGAAGCAAUUGGAACGGGCAGUUUUUAAGGCUGCGCUGAGUAUAAGGGGAGUUAAGUGGAGAUAUGCCCCAAACAGAACCAGUGGACCUGGUGUCACACCUAACAGUUGUGUGAAGCAGCGCCCUAUCCCCUGGUAUUGCCAGGAGGAGCCGUGGAAGGAGGAAAUUCAAAGAGGAGGUAUGGCAUGGUCCUUGCCCAGUACCCUUCUUGCUCCAGGCAGUCUGUGGUUUAUGGACUUCCCAAAGCAGAGGCUGCCUCCAGACCAGUGUGUUUUAAUAGCCACCCAUGGAUCUAUCCUCCUUGAAUUUUUUUUGAUCCUUUUCUCAAGCCAUUUAUAACUUCUGGCCUCCGCAACAUCCUGUGGCAACGAGUUCCACAAUUUAAUUAUGCUUUGCAUGGAAAAAGUACUUCCUUGUGUUGGUUUAAAUCUUCUUGCGUGAAUGUUUUGUUGGGUCCCCUCUACUUCUUACAAGAAGCCACAGACAACUAUUUCCUAUUUGCCUGUUUCUGUGUCAUUCAUAAUCAAACAGAUGUUGAGUGUAUUUCCUGCCUUUAUCAUCCCCUUCCAUCCUGGAAACUCACCUCUUUCAUUUCUCAGCUGUAUGGAAGCUGUUUUCCACCUCUCCUCAUCCUGGGUGCUUUUCAGCUCAACCACCCUUCUGGAGGCCAGAAAACCCACUAUUGUCACGACGCAGUUUCACUGAUGAUUGCUAGAGUGGUGGAGUUCUAUUUUGCUCCUGCUGCUUUUCCAGUUACAGGACAGCGACCUGAGGAGAGAAGGAAGCCAAGCAAGGUGCACUGAAGAUGGGCCAAGGCCUACAUCCUAUGGAAACUCUUGGGAUAGAUGAAAUCCCACCACUGAUUGACACCUAUCUUCUUUAUCUUCUUUAGCACUUAGCCUCUAAAACUUGGUGGAAAUUCACAAGUCUGGAAGUGGUCGUUGCAUUCUUGAGUAAGAUGCCGUCCAUUUUACAACCGGCAUUUGUCUGUAGGUUCCACAAUGGCUCUUUUAUUUAAAUGCUCACUCCUUGCCUAAGGAUUAUUGACUGGAGCCUUUCAUUCCUGACAUCACCCAGUUUCUCCAUGCUGACCAGCUGUGUGUGGAGAAGCAGACUCAGAAGAUGGCUACUCCGGGGUCAGCACUGCCAGCCAGCUGCUUAUUCUUGCAUGGGAUAUCCGCCUACUCCUUGCAAAAGCAGUGCCUGGGUGACCCAUCUGCUAAUGCAGAGGGGCGCUUCUGAGGCCGAGCAGUUGCAUGGCCUGGCAGAAAUACAUUUUGGGGAGUGCACAGCUUAUGUUCACACACAAGAAAGAACUUUACAGCACCAGGCACUUAGAUGUCCUUCACGCCUUCACCUCUCUAAGGAAUACCCUUUCUGAGCCAUCCUGUGCUAACCUGGACAUUAGAAUGGAAUGCAGACAAACAUACAUAGCAACUUGUCCCCUCUGAUUUACCCAAAGUCAUUUCAUUUCUUUGUGUUCACCUGCAUUACUUUGAUCCAAGCAUUCAUUUCUUAGGCAGAAACUUUUUAUACACAUACAAUCUUUUUUUUUUUUUCCCCUUGAUAAAAAAAAUCUAAUAUCCUUCUCCCAGCCUAUGGAUGUCUGCUGAGAGUCCAUGGGUAUGAUUCCUAUAAGGCCAUUGCUGCUUGAGUGGGAAAGAAUGCACAGCAGUAAGGUAUCCUCAGGUUUCCAAACCACCUAGAAGUUUAGUAUGGUCUCAUUCUUCCAAAACACAAGUUCUGUCAACUAGAACAACAGCAACAAAAAAAAAAACCCUACAAGUUUAUUAUCUCCCAGCAUUAAAACACAGCCAUCUUUUUAUGAUGACCACACAACACUCCUGCAGACAUGACCAAUCAUUAGUUUUGCCUGACGAUCAGACCUACUCACCUGUCAGCCUAGCUGGCUUGCUGAUGGAAAUGCUGCUUCUCUGAGGGCCCAAACAGAGGCUUCAAGUGAAAGAGAGAAUGAGAAUUUGGCACAUAACCCUGAAAAGCCCCAGUACAACACUGGGGCUUCUUGGCACAAGUCACCAGUUUCAGCACCAGAGACUGCUGUGUCUGUAAGGUCAGGCCUAUUUCCCUCACCGUGCCCUGUGAGCUCCUCUAGCAAGCUCCAUCUUAAGUAAGGAAAUUGUUUGUGCUUGUAAUCACCAGUAGUUAGCAAGCCUUUUUCUAAUUUCAGCCUAUGUCCAUCCACAGCAGGUUGUAUUACCACUUCUUGUACCAGUGCAUGCCUUUCCCUAGAGAGCUCUUCUCAACCUUCCUUAAUUUUUAGCUAUGACAUAUUUAUAGGCAGAAAUUCUGGUCGCUGCCUUUCUCUGCUAACCCCUCCCACUGUCCCCUCUGUUGGCAGGCCCUGUUGUCCUUGACCACCUUGGUAACAUUUCUGCUAUUGCUCCUGCAUCAGCUCAUCUCUUUUGUUUCUCAGUGAUGAAAGAAGUGCACAACAUUGAAGCUGAACGCUCAUCUGUGCCUGGUGCACUAUCCCUGUCUGAUUUGCUCGCUACGACUGCAUUUCCCUUUUCAUGGCUACAGCAUAGUUGUGGCUCAAAGUCACCCUGUGAUUAGAGUACAUCGAAGUCUUCUUCCUCCCCGAGCAGCUUUAAGUGCAUGGCUCAUACUGAAUGUUUUCUUAGUAACAAUACCCAGCUCUGCGGUGAUCUGCAUGAGCUAUGGGUCUGGGCCCCUUCUCCAGAAGAGUCAGACUUUGCCAGCUGACACCAGCUGCAGAACCAGUUCUCAGUAUUCAGUGCACUUGGGGAGAAAGAAACAAGUAGUAAACCAAAGACAAACAGAGCUACAGUCAAACGUAUUAUAACACUACCAACCAAGACAGCUGCUUCUGCCAACAUGGAAACAAGAUAGGAACUAGAGUGUUUCUAUUUUUGCAUUCAAAUAGAAACAGAUGGAGAGGACUUGGGGAAUUUAUCAAACCAAAUAAAUAUUUUUCAUUUUAAAAUUUGAAUGGAAUGGAAAUUAUAAUCUGCCACUGUUACCAUGGAGCUGAAUAUUGUCCUUCCCCUCAUCCGGCCUUUAGCAGUAAGGAGUUGGUUGCGGCAGGGCUGGAGUUUUGCAGUUUUCUUCCUCACCCAACCCAGCUCUCUCCUUUGAAUUACACUGCCUGGUUACCGACUGCAGAAAGAAGAGUCAGGUUUUGCAAUAUUUUUUUUAUGGAUUGCUAGCUGAAAAAUGAGAACAAAAUGAACUUCUGGAUAGCAGGCACCACUGUUUUUCACUAUUCUUACCUAAGUUAAAGCAGUGAACCUCCACUUCCAAACUGAGAGGAGCCAAAGUGCCCAACUUCAGACCUUCCUGUGUGCCAGCUCCAAGCCAGUGGGAUGACUGGGAGGCUGGAGCCACACCAAAGCUGGGGAUUUUGAGCCAGAUUGCUGCCACCACCUUCUUAUCUCAGACCAAGAGCACCUGAGGCUGCCUAAAACCUGCUAGAAACAGCCCAGUGAGGUGGAGCACUUUCUUGCAAUGACUUACAGAAUGUCACAGCCAAAUCCAAAAAGUGUUUUAAAAGUGAGGAUGCAGUACAAAUGGAACAAACUUGGUCAUUAACUCUGGAUAUUCCACUGCCUCAAGAGUAGAACCUCUCUGCUUGGUCAAAUAGGUAAUAAAAUAGAUUAACAGAUAAUCUAAGAGGCUCUCCAUUGCCUUUUUUUUUUUUAAACUGUUUCCAGUAAACAGCCCCAUGCCUGUAAAUAUUUUAGAACAGGAAAAUAUUUAGUGACCCAGGUACUGAAAGGGCUGCCAUUAACCCUGCAAUAGACUUUUGCAUCCGCAAAUGCCCCUGAAAACAAAUGGAUUAGACUAAUUGCAUUCAUUCAGAUUAGCAAACAGCCCGAUAAGCCAGGACCGUGGUCCAUAAUGGCACAAUGCCCUUGGAGACUCCUUUCCUAGGACUGUAUCAGCAGUGCUACACACUGCAGGCAUCACACAAGUGUGCUGCUGCCAUUAAACUCCUGUUCUUUAAGAGCUUAAGAGGCCGAUUCAAACAUUUUUUCCUUCCUUGAACUGUAUUUAAAUCAAGUCACUUCUCUACAUUUUUCACCUGAAUAAAGAGCAUUUUUCUGUUAUGUUAAGGUUUGUAGGUGACGUCCUUUAAUGUUACUAUUAUUGUAAUUAUUUAAAAAAACACAACAAUAAAACAGUAAGUAUGA